rnacentral:rRNA from 1 species
AUGAGCGGGCUCGGGGCUGUGAUUGCGGGCACCGUGGGGAAGCUGAUCGUCGGCAAGCUUGGUGGAUACGCCACAUCGGAGAUCACUCUGCAGUGGAGGUACAGAGAGGAUGUGCUGGACAUGGAGGACAAGAUGAAAGAUCUUGAGGCCGUGCUGGCCGAUGCCGACGAGAGGUCGCGUCGAGGAGGACAAGGUGCAAAAGUGUACGAGCGGUGGCUUACCAAGUUUAAGCGCGUCGCCUACGACGUGGAGGACGUGCUCGAUGAGCUGGAUGCCAACGAGCUCAUCAAGAAGAACCAAGCUAAGGUUAAGUUGUUUUUUUCUGGGAACAAUCAAUUCCUCCAGCGGAUGACAAUGCCCCACAAGAUAAAGAACUUGAGCAAGAAAAUAGAUGGAAUUAAAAAGGAGGGCAGAAGGGAUCUCAGUCUUGUGCAUCUGGAAGCAAGGGCAGAAGGAAGUAGAAAUGAUGAAACUUUUGCAGUCAACACUGGUGAAGGCACGAAAAGUGGAAUUUUGGGGAGAGAUACGGAGAAGGAGAAGAUAAUCAACCUCCUAUUGACAAGUGAAGCUGAAGAGGAUAUCUCGAUCAUUCCAAUUGUCGGGCUUGGUGGCAUAGGAAAGUCGACAUUGGCUGAAUCAGUUCUGGCAGAUAAGAGGGUUACCGUUUUUGACUUCACUGCCUGGGUCCACGUGUCCAAGCAGUUUAGUUUGCACAAAAUUGGGAGUGCCAUCCUGAAAAGCUUGAAUAGCAACAUCAACCUUAACAAUUGUACUAUGCAGUUUCUGUAUGAUAAUCUGAGCAAAGAACUUGCUACUAGAAGAUACUUGAUUGUUCUGGAUGAUCUCUGGGAAGAAGAUGGAGAUAAGCUUGAAAAGUUGAAGCAGAUGUUACAGCACGGCCUCAAGGGUAGCCGGAUUAUAGUAACAACUCGAAAUCUGAGCGUGGUGCAAAAACUGCGCACUGGUUUUCUUGCAAAUGAAAGGAAAUUUUGUCCCGUGGCUGAGCCACAUGAAGUCAACCUGGCUGUUUUAUCACCUGAUGACUGUUGGGAGAUAAUGAAGAAAAGGGCAUUUGGGCCUGAUGAUCUCCAAAGUGCCUUGGAAGGUAUUGGGAGGGAAAUCGCUGUGAAGUGUGGGGGCCUACCGCUUGUGGCAAAUGCUCUUGGGCAAGUAAUGUCUGAGGUAAGGACCCCAAGGGCAUGGGAAGAUAUAAGAGACACCAAGGUUGAUUUGGGAGAAUUGCAUCAGAAAAAAACACUAGAGAGCCUUAUGCUGAGCUAUUACUACAUGAAGAUGGACUUUAAAAUGUGUUUCAUUUAUUUGGCGGCCUUCCCGAAGGGCUUCAUCAUGAACAGCAACCAUCUAGUUCAACAAUGGACUGCCCUUGGAUACAUUUCUUCCGUCCAUGAUGGUCAAAGGUGUAUCAACUACCUUUUGGGAAUGUCCUUUCUUCAAAUCCCCCUAUUUUCUUCGGUUAGUUCAAAUCUAGUGCACACCAAAGUUCCUCCGGAGCUCAUCAUGCAUGAUUUGGUGCAUCAACUUGCAUCAAUAAUUGCUGCCGAGGAAUUAACUGAAUUGGAUGCUACCGAAAAGACCAGUUGGAACAGAGCUCGUUAUUGCCGACAUGCACAGUUAACCAACUACAUGAAUAAUUCUGAGGUUUUCAAAAAUCUUCCAAGCAAGAUUAGAUCCCUCCAUUUUAGGGAUUUAGGAGAGCAACAACUCCCCGGAAAGGCAUUUUCUCGAUCCAAGUACAUACGUGUCUUGGACCUAAGUGGGAGUUCGGAUAAAGGGCAACUUGCUCCAAGCAACAUUGUUCUGCCAUCUUCUAUCAAUCAACUUAAGCUACUUAGGUAUCUUGACUCCACCGGCUUGCCAAUUACAACACUUCCAAAGUCUUUUCAUACACUAGAAAAUAUGGAAACUCUUAUUCUCUCCAAAUGCUCGCUUGAAACCUUGCCUGACAAUACUUGUUGUCUGGGUAAACUUCUCUAUUUUGACCUAUCUCAUAACGGUAGCCUUAAUAAGCUACCAGAAUCACUAGGGAAGCUCUCUAAACUCUCUUUCCUCAGUCUAUCUGGGUGUUCUGUACUCCAAGAGUUGCCUGAAUCAAUCUGUCUGCUUACAUGCUUAUAUCAUCUAGAUAUUUCAGAUUGUUGUGCUCUUCAACAGCUCCCUGAUGAAUUCGGCAACCUUCCCAAGCUCUUGUUCUUAAGCAUGUCAGGUUGUUCCAAGCUCACCAAACUGCCUGACAAUAUUAGCUUUCCGUGUUUAGAGCAUCUGAACCUAUUAAGUUGCCACAAACUAGAAAACCUGCCAAUUGAUUUCGGCCACCUUCAGAAACUUGAGUUCUUGAACCUUUCUGGUUGCUACAAGGUUUCAAUGCUUCCAGGGUCAUUUUGCCAACUAGAUCAUUUGAGAUACCUGGAUCUUUCAGACUGUCAUAACCUUGAAGAACUCCCUGAAUGUUUUGGUCACCUCUUCGAGCUUGAAUAUUUGAACCUAACAGGCUGUCCUAAGCUCCAAAUGUUGCCUGAGUCAUUAUGCAAGUGUUUUAAGCUGAGGCGUCUCUAUUUGUCAUACUGUCUGAGGCUCGGUGAACUCCCCUCCUCAUUUGGUGACCUUAAGCUUCAAAUACUGCACUUGAAUGGCCUUCAUGCUAUGAAUGACUGCCCUGAUAGCAUUGGUGACAUGACUAGUCUCACCCAGUUUGUGGUUGAUUAUUCGACUCCUAGUUUCUUUGAAAAGGUUGAAGCCAUUAAAAUGCGUCUAAAUCUUGUGGGCAGGGUAAGACAUUAUGUACAUGAAAUUGAGAGUACAGGAUGCAGCAGUAUAGUGGAUCUUGUAGGAUUGACUUGUUCAGAACUGACACUUGAAGACCUUCAGAAUGUCAGGCAUCCAGAAGAUGUAGACAGAGUCAAACUGCGUGAUAAGACAGAUAUUCGAGUACUAAGACUUGUCUGGAAAAACGAAGGAGGUAAAUCUGUGCUGGACAGGCUAGUACCUCCUCGGACUCUUGAAAACUUUUGGCUGUGUGGGUACACGAGCAAAGAUUUCCCUAACUGGAUGUUUCACAUCUCGUCCUACCUCCCUUUUCUCAGCGAAGUGACUCUUGAUGAUUUGGAAGCAUGUGAUUGUCUUCCUCCAUUCGGGGCACUGCCAAAUUUAAUAAAGCUGUCUCUGAAAAACAUUCCCAACAUCAGGAAAAUCGGUAAGGAAUUCUAUGGAGAGGCCAGACCUUGCAUGAAACUACGAGUACUGCUAUUGAGGUUGAUGGAGAAUUUGGAGGAAUGGUGGACAACAGAGUCAAGUGAAGAAAACGAAGAGUUUCUAAUCCCUAAUUUGCAAUAUUUGGCGGUAGAAGACUGCCCAAAGUUGAAGUUCAUACCAUACCCCCCAAGAAGUACGGAUUGGGUUUUGAACAACAGCGACACAGUUUUGCCGGAGCGAGGAUUUGGAAAGCUCUCGUCUUCCAUUUGUCCUCUUGAUAUGCAGGUGAAGAGUUGUCAUUUCUCUCAAGACAAGUGGGACAGACUUCAACACUUUGCCACCAUUGAGAAAUUUCUUGUAAACUCCGUCAGUGGCUUGAGGACUUUGCCAGAGGUUAUCCGAUGCUUCACCUCUCUCACUAGACUAGAUUUGGUAUCAUUGAAGGACCUGGAAACACUUCCAGUAUGGUUGGGCCACCUCAGUUCUCUAGAACAACUUGUAAUCGACAAUUGCCCCAACCUGACUUAUUUGCCUGAAAGCAUGAAGAACCUCAGCACUCUUAGGAAGCUGAUAUUGGUAGAGUGCCAAGGCCUGGAGACAUUACCUGAGUGGUUGGGACAGUUGACCUCUCUAGAAGAAAUUAUUAUCAGGAUUUACCCCAACCUGACAUGUUUGUCUGAAAGCAUGAAGAACCUCACCGCUCUUAGAGAGCUGACAUUGGUAGAGUGCCAAGGCCUGGAGACAUUACCUGACUGGUUUGGACAGUUGACUUCUCUAGAAGAAAUUGUUAUUGUGGGUUCACCCAACUUGACAUGUUUGCCUGAAAGCAUGAAGAACCUCAUCUCUCUUAGAAAACUGACAUUAGUAGAUUGCCAAGGCCUGGAGACAUUACCUGAGUGGUGGGGACAGUUGACUUCUCUAGAAGAAAUUAUUUUCAAGGGUUACCCCAACCUGACAUGUUUGCCUGAAAGCAUGAAGAACCUCACCGCUCUUAGAGAGCUGACACUGGUAGAGUGCCAAGGCCUGGAGACACUACCUGAGUGGUUGGGACAGUUGAAUUCUCUAGAAGAGAUUUGUAUCUGGAAUUUUCCCAACCUGACAUGUUUGCCUGAAAGCAUGAAGAACCUCACCGCUCUUAGAAAACUGACACUGAAUGAGUUCCAAGGUCUGGAGACAUUACCUGAGUGGUGGGGACGGUUGACUUCUCUAGAAGAAAUUACGAUUGCCGAUUGCCCCAACCUGACAUCAUUGCCUGAAAGCAUACAGAGUCUCUCUGCUUUGAAGCUACUCAGAAUUGGUCUAUGUCCAAGUCUGACUGCAAGGUGCCAAAGGGAGGAUGCCCACAAGAUUUGUCACAUCCCCAAAGUCGUACUCUGCUGA